rnacentral:lncRNA from 1 species
GAAGAAGGCCCACACGGCCCCCAGAAGAAAACUUAAUAGUCUGGGGGCUCCCUUGGGUCCUUCUCAUUAAAAAAAAAAAAUCUCUAUUUAAAUGCAAAUUUGAGCCUGAGCUGCUGUGGGUUGGCAGGAGGCAGAGAGACAUCCAGGCGCUGAGUUUGCACACCCAGAUUUCGGAUGCUACUCCCCAAUCUUGUCUGGAAAUCUGGGUCCUGAACCUAGUUUUAUUCCAUCCUCAGUGGCCAGUCAGCCCAGCCAUGGGAGAGCCCCUCCACGAAGCCCUUCCCACCUCGGCUGCUUUCUAUGUCUGUCAGUCGGUCUGUCUGUCUCUACCACCCAUGGGCACAUACUAACUUGUACUCUGACCUUUCUAUAGAAAUGUUGGGCACACAACACAAAGCCCAUCAGACUCCAUGUUUCAGGUGGGCUUUUAUUGUCGGGGUGGGGGGCUUGUUUGUUUCUAAGAGAAAGAAAGAACCUGAGGUUGGGAGGGUAGGGAGGUGAAGGAAAACCUAGGGGCAGCUGGUGGGAGAAUAUGCUCAAAAUACGUUGUAUGAAGCUCUGAAAGAAAAAAA